CCGACAGUCUUUUAUAGUACCUCGUCGAUGGUCAAGUGAAAGAUAUAUAGUUACUUUGUUUUAAAUAUAUAAACAUAGUGUGACUAAAGAAAAAGAGAUCUCAUCAAAACGUCUGUUAUUAAGAGAGAGAAAAACGAGUAUUGUGAUCGCAUGCGCGUCUACUUCCGUAUUCUUGGUGAUUUCCGGAAACAGUGCUCAGACGUAUAGUGCCAAAAGAAAGGAGUUGUGAACAAUUUUGAUAUUUGUAAGAAAAGAGAAUUAUCAUGACUGGUGGAAACUCUGCUGAGAAGUCAGCCAAUAAUCCUCUGGAACAAUUUGUAUUACUUGCAAAAACUGCAAAAGGUGCAGCUGCCAUGGAGCUCAUAAAACAGGCCGUUGAGACACCUGGUGUUCAUGUCUUUGGUGAGCUGUUGGACAUGCCAAAUAUCAAAGAACUGGAGAAUGGACCUUAUGUCCAAUAUUGGAAUACACUGAAUUUAUUUGCCUAUGGCACAUAUAAGGAUUAUUUGGAGAACAAAGAUAAAGUAUUAGAAUUAACUCCUACGCAAAAGAAGAAGCUGCAGCAUCUUACAAUUGUCACUCUUGCCACGAGAUCCAAGUGUAUACCUUAUUCAGUACUUUUGGAGGAACUAGACAUAAAGAAUGUCAGAGACCUAGAAGAUCUGAUUAUCGAAGCAAUAUAUGCUGACAUAAUUCAUGGAAAAUUAGAUCAAAAGAAUUCACAGUUAGAAGUGGAUUAUGCUGGCUUAGGGCGAGACGUCCGACCAGGUGAUGCUGGCAUAGUAGCUGAGACAUUGGCUGCUUGGGGUAAAGCUUGCGACACAGUUUUAGCAUGCAUUGAGGAACAAGUAACCAGAGCUAAUAUCGAGAAACAAAAGGCUACUUAUCAUAAGGAGAGAAUACAAAGAGACAUUGCUAAUAUAAAAAAAUCUCUCGCGGCUCAAACCGGUGGUGGAGGCAUUCAAGAGGCUGAUGUAGCUGGAGGUAGUUCUGGUGCAGGAGGAAGCGAAUCGGGUAGGGAAGCCAUGCCGGCACUAUCGGAUCCAAAGAAGAAGUUACAGAAGGUCAAAGGUAUCAAAGUCAGUGGUAAGUUUUGGAAGACAUAAGUUCAAUAAGUCUCCUUGCGCGCAGUAUACGUUUUCCGGACGAACGACGUUGUCCACAGUGUUGUUCGUGCCACUCGUUCGUUGCGUCGAAUUUUACGCUUCGGACUCGUUGUAAGUCACGACUAAACAGCGAUCGUUAUAGCCGGGUUGAAACGUACGUUGAAGAAAUUCUCGAAUGUCCUUACUCCUCCUUUUUUUUCUAAUAUUACAUAUUCAAAAUUCUCUAGAGGAAAGGAGUAUGUAAAUAUAUAAGCGAUGUAAUCAGUGUGCGAUAAGGUAGUCAGUUCUCAACAAAAAGAUUGGUGUAAUAUGUGACAACACAAGAUAGAGAGAGACAACAGAUAGAGAGUUCAUCUUUAAGCAAAGUUGAAAUAUACAUACGCAUAUAUCAAUUAGCCGUUACGUACAUUAUGCAAGGAGGAGGAAUGGAUGAUGAACGAAAAGGGUAAUACUGAAACGAAUUUAUCACUUUUAUGCAAAAGCAUAUAACUCAUGUCGAAUUGAAAAUUUUCUGUGUAUCUGAGAUAUCGAGUUUGUAGAGUUUUAAGAGUGAAAAUAGAGAAACGACAUUUUAUAGAACGUGCCCUAAGCGUAGCAUCGAAUUCUAUAACGUCAGAUUUGUACGAGUAUUCGAUCUUGUUCAACAUUUACAGACUACCUGUUACUAUAAACGAUACGAAUAAAGUCAAAAGUACCUCUACUCUUAUCGAACUACUUUUACCGUUUGUAAGAAUGACUUAUUUACAACACAUCGGUAUAAGAAGCUUUUUAGACAAGCUGAGAUGUUCUCGUGUACGAAUUUCGAAUUUAAUAGCGGCAAUGUUUAGUGGAAGAUGAGCGGGAAAAGCGGUAGCUUUCGUACUUUUAUUGCGACCGUUUCGAAUGUCACCAUUGGUAUUCGCUGCACAAACGGGUACUGUUGCUUGCACAAAAUUUAGCAUUCACUCGUGAAAAAUUGACGGAUUGUUUAUAUCGUUGAACUAAAGAGUAAUAUAGUACGUGCGAGGAUAGCGUGUACAUGAUGAUUGUUCUUACAUCGAGCAUUUGAAAACAAUGAAUCUUUUCCUUGUGACAAAAAUAAUUUUAUAGGUAAGCGAAUAUUCUUGUAAUAUACUUGUUUAUUUCAUUAGACCAAAGAUAUCAUGUUUUGUGUUUGUAGGGCAUGAAGAAAUUUAUUAGGAUUUGACGAUUCUCUAGAUGAAUACAUGACGAAUUUGAUAGAUAGUGCACAUGUAAUGCAUAUUUUUAUCAGUGCACACGUGCCUACCCGUUGUCGGUUGUCACGGUUAAAAAACGGCAGCAUGCCCAUUGUGACAAGUUGGUCGAUGCUUACGUAUAUUUCCGACGGUAGUGCCGUUCGUACUGUUUGCGUUCGGACUUUAUAUCUCGUUUCGUAAGGACCUGCAGUCGCUAAUUAUUUACUGACAAGAGACAAAGCGUAACUAGUCGGAGAGAUCGUUUUUGAAGGAACUUGUACAUUUAGGAAACUGUAAAGGAUCUGCUACUAAUCCACUACUAAUGGUCGAUGAGACAAGUUGGGAAUAGCCGAGAACGAAUUAGGUGAAACCUUGUGGCAUAUCACCGAGUCGUUUGGAUUAUCUCUCUCUCUCUCUGCAAUUCUGACGGGACGCAUCGUGUCUACUGUAACUUUUGUAGCUUUCAAAAAAUAAACAGCAUCUUUGAAUUGUCUUAUAUUUAUUGUAAGUCGCACUUCGUGCGCGAUAAGAAAAAUAAAACGAUACUGAGCAA